GUAAUGAAACACGUGUAAAAUGAUAUAUUUGAUUAUGCUAUAGCAAUAGAUGUAAUCGAUGGAAAAAAGAUUACGUAUAUAGAAAGUGUGCAAGAGUGUACGCACAUAAAUAGCCAAAAUGGCUACAUGACUUAAGUAUUGAACUAAAUUUGCUCGACAAACUAAACGUUUUCGAACCAGCAGUUCGAACACCCAUAGACGUCAAACCAGUAGGUUAUAAAUGGGUGUCUUUAAAUAAAAGGAAACGUAAAUAAUGAGUUUUUGCGAUGUAAGGCACACAUUUUAACAUAAAGAUUUUUCCCAAAUCCCAGUAGUUGAUUACGAGGAAACAUAUACCCCUGUAGUGGAUGCGAUAAUCUUUAGAUGUUUAAGCGGCCUCGCAAUCUCAGAAUGACUUCAGAUAAAACAACUUAUGGAUGUCAUCACCGUAUACAUGUACGAGACAAUUGCAAAUGACAUCUGCAUGAAAACCCCUGAAGGAUUAAAAAUGCUCAAAGCAUUAUGAAAAAUAACCCCUUAUGUGUUAUAUAUAUGAAUCUUAAAGGAAACUACUCGUAUGUGGUACAGUCGACUAUACUCUGAAAAGAGAGGUAUAAGUUUGAUAAAAUGAGCUACAUCUAUUUAACAAGAUUUCACUCUUACAGUGAUAAUGUAAACAUCAUAGAGAGGGAACUCUCAAACUAAAAAGGAAAAUUUUUAAUGACCUUUACAAAGUGUAGUUAUUCUCGACCUGUAGUUCGAGUAUAUAUGUACUAUUUUUGCUCAUCAAUCUGACUACAUCUAGAAGAUGUUAUAUAGAAAAAGCUCAUUCGUUGACUACAUGAACAAUUGUUAGAUCGCUUGACAUAGAAAAAAUAUUCUUAUCAACCCCAAGAAAAGGAUGUUGAACUACUUAGUCAAGAAGUACCAUACUUAAUUGCGAUCAGAGCAUUGACGUAUCUUACAAACAAGACGACAUCUGAUAUUACGUUCUUGCUAGAUGUAUUGGUAAGAUUACAGUUCUAAUCUCAAAUGUUGCACUCUUUUUCCCUUCACUAAGUUUUUCCCAUUGGGUUUUCUUGGUAAGGUUUUUAACGAGACAGCAUAACUGAUCUAGUAGUAUCAGUUUAUCUUAUAGGUCCUGAAGUACUAAUUUAACAUCAUCAUAAAUCAUAGGGAUGGGAUUGGUACAGUACCCGUACCUAUACCCGUACCAAUACCAAAAAUACCGGUACCGAAUUUGAACAAAACUAGGUACCAAAUACCGUACCAGAUAUAUAGGUACGGUACGGGUACGAGUACGGGUACUGGUACGGGUAUUUUCGGUACAGUACCCGGUUGGUACCAUUUUGUUUUUAUUUACUUUUUGAACACUUGUAUGAGUACUAAAUAGGUAAAAUUGACAUGAGUACCAAUAUAGUACGAGUACCAAAUAGGUAAAAUUGGUACGAGUACCAAUACGAUACGGGUACCAUAUAGGUAAAAUCAAUACGAGUACGCUAUAAAUACCAUAAUAUGAAACAAAACAUAAUACAAAAAAACUUUUAAAGGUAUACAUAGAAUUCGGUACCAGUACCCGUUUUUACCCGUACCCGUACCCGUACCAAUACCGAAAGUACCGAAUACCAAAAUCAAUAAAACUGGGUACCGAUACAUGUACCAAAUACCUAAAAUCGGUAUGGGUACAGGUACAGGUACGGGUACGGUACGGGUACGAGUACGGGUAUUUGGGAAAAAAAAGCCCAUCCCUAAUAAAUCAUGUUGUUAAUUAUGUAUAAUGCGUAGUGCACUCUUUUCCCUUAGCUACGGUUUUGUCCCAUUGGGUUUUCCUGGCAUGGUUUUUAACGAGGCAGAAUUAUAAAGCGCAUUAAAUAAUUAUUUGACAUAUUUACAAACUCGAGACACGGUAUAGUUCCACAAGAACAAUAUGGCGUUCUGGGUUAUGAUUGAUAUAUAUUAGAAUCGCAUAGAGUUCUAUCUCAAUCCAGAUACAAGUUAUGAAGGUCGAAGAUUUCAGCAUAUUUAAGAAGUAUCUAGAUUAGAGUUGAUCAAGAGAAGCUCAAGCUAUACUAUAUGAAGACAAGGUAGACAACAACACUCAAAUAAAAAAAGACUACAUCAAAUAUCAAGUCAAGCAAUUGUCACAGAAGAUUGGAUUCAACAUCAUCAAGAUAUAUAAGUAAAAUUGAGGGGGAGUAUGUACCCAUAAUAUACACAAUGUAUGUACUCUUUUUCCUUGACUAAGUUUUGUCCCACUGGGUUUUUCUUAGUAAGGUUUUAAUGAGGCAACAUAACUGGUCUUGCAGUAUCAGUUAACAUCGGUCCCGAAGAAUCGUGUAAACAUUAUCUAGUAGUAUAAUGUUAACAGUACAUUCAGGCCCAUAGGCCAAGCCUGACCUAAUGUUAAUGGGCUUUAGGGUUGUUGUUGUAUUGUUCUAUAUAUAUGAUAUAUGUACAUGAAAUACGUGU
rnacentral:lncRNA from 1 species